rnacentral:rRNA from 1 species
AGCGAACGCUGGCGGCAGGCCUAACACAUGCAAGUCGAGCGCUCGUAGCAAUACGAGAGCGGCAGACGGGAGAGUAACACGUGGGAACGUACCCUUUGGUUCGGAACAACACAGGGAAACUUGUGCUAAUACCGAAUAAGCCCUUACGGGGAAAGAUUUAUCGCCGAAGGAUCGGCCCGCGUCUGAUUAGCUAGUUGGUGGGGUAACGGCUCACCAAGGCGACGAUCAGUAGCUGGUCNGAGAGGAUGACCAGCCUCAUUGGGACUGAGACACGGCCCAAACUCCUACGGGAGGCAGCAGUGGGGAAUAUUGGACAAUGGGCGCAAGCCUGAUCCAGCCAUGCCGCGUGGAUGAUGAAGGCCUUAGGGUUGUAAAGUCCUUUUAACGGGGAAGAUAAUGACGGUACCCGUAGAAUAAGCCCCGGCUAACUUCGUGCCAGCAGCCGCGGUAAU